rnacentral:rRNA from 14 species
CGAUGGACAACAGGUUGAUAUUCCUGUACUAGAGUAUGUAGUGAUGGAGGGACGCAGUAGGCUAACUAAAGCAGACGAUUGGAAGAGUCUGUCUAAGCAGUGAGGUGUGAUAUGAGUCAAAUGCUUAUAUCUGUAACAUUGAGCUGUGAUGGGGAGCGAAGUUUAGUAGCGAAGUUAGUGACGUCACACUGCCAAGAAAAGCUUCUAGCGUUUAAACAUACUCUACCCGUACCGCAAACCGACACAGGUAGUCGAGGCGAGUAGCCUCAGGUGAGCGAGAGAACUCUCGUUAAGGAACUCGGCAAAAUGACCCCGUAACUUCGGGAGAAGGGGUGCUGACUUUAAGUCAGCCGCAGUGAAUAGGCCCAAGCAACUGUUUAUCAAAAACACAGCUCUCUGCUAAAUCGUAAGAUGAUGUAUAGGGGGUGACGCCUGCCCGGUGCUGGAAGGUUAAGAGGAGUGCUUAGCGCAAGCGAAGGUAUGAAUUGAAGCCCCAGUAAACGGCGGCCGU